rnacentral:snRNA from 1 species
GUGCUCACUUUGGCAGCACAUGUACUAAAAUUGGAAUAAUACAGAGAAGAUUGGCAUGGGCCCUGCACAAGGGUGACACACAAAUUCAUGAAGCAUUCCAUAUUUUU